rnacentral:rRNA from 1 species
GUCAUUUAGAAGAAGUCAAAGUCGUAACAAGGUUUCCGUUGGUGACCCAGUCGGAGGGAUCGUUACAGAGUUGCGGAACUCCCAGGAACCAUUGUGCAACGUUACGAUUAUCGUUGUUUCUGCUGGCGGCGCCCAGCGCUCUCAGGCCGCCUCGCGGGGCGCCCGCCGGAGGUUACCUAACUCUUGACAACUGUAUGGCCUCUCUGAGUCUCUAUACUUAAUAAGUUAAAACUUUCAACAACGGAUCUCUUGGUUCUGGCAUCGAUGAAGAACGCAGCGAAAUGCGAUAAGUAAUGUGAAUUGCAGAAUUCAGUGAAUCAUCGAAUCUUUGAACGCACAUUGCGCCCGCCAGUAUUCUGGCGGGCAUGCCUGUUCGAGCGUCAUUUCAACCAUCAAGCCCCAGGUUUGUGUUGGGGACCUGCGGCUGCCGCAGGCCCUGAAAACCAGUUGCGGGCUCGCUAGUCACAGCCGAGCGUCGUCGCAUACACAUCGCUCAUGGUAGCGUUCUGUGGGUUCCGGCCGUUAAACCCCUUUGUUACCCAAGGUUGACCUCGGAUCAGGCAGGAAGACCCGCUGAACUNAAGCAUAUCAUUAAGCCGGAGGA